AGUGGUUUGUUUUCCAACAGACCAGCACACACUGCCAGUGGCCAGAGUUUUGUCUCGUCUUCAUCCAGAGGAGGAUUAAUCUUGGUGAUGGUGCAAACAAAAUGUGGCGAGGUCUGCUCAGAGAACAACCUGAAGUUCCCAGAGUGAAAUCAGAAUGGUCGGUUCGGCUGUGAUUGGCGAAUCAAGCCUGGUAAACAACUGUGGAACUUCAAAAACAAUGGCUGCCCAGUUCAUGCUCCAAACUGAUUGAAUAUGAAUAGUUGUGUGAUCUUAAUGGGUAGCUUCGGUGAGAAUCACUGCAAUAAAGAUUAACUGUUUAUCAUUCAUUAUUAGCUUGUUAUUAACAUUAAUACUGUAAAACAUAUUAAACCUUUUCUCUGAGGAAAGUCUAGGGAGAACAUAAAUGGGACCAUGGAUUUUAUCAGACCUUUCUUUAUACUUGCUAUUAUGAUGUUUGGGGAC